rnacentral:sRNA from 1 species
CUGUACAAAGAAAACAUCAUCAUCAAUAAAA